AGGGCGCACGGUGGAUGCCUUGGCACUAGAAGCCGAAGAAGGACGUGACUAACGACGAAAUGCUUUGGGGAGCUGUAAGUAAGCGCUGAUCCAGAGAUGUCCGAAUGGGGGAACCCACUAGUUAAUGACUAGUAUCCAUAUCUGUUAAGGAUAUGAGAAGGAAGACGCAGUGAACUGAAACAUCUAAGUAGCUGCAGGAAGAGAAAGCAAAAGCGAUUGCCUUAGUAGCGGCGAGCGAAACGGCAGGAGGGCAAACCGAAGUGUUUACACUUCGGGGUUGUAGGACUGCGAUAUAGGAUUAAUCAUUAUAGAAGAAUUACCUGGGAAGGUAAGCCAAAGAGAGUAACAGCCUCGUAUUUAAAAUGAUAGAUUAACCUUAGCAGUAUCCUGAGUACGGCGAGACACGCGAAAUCUCGUCGGAAUCUGGGAGGACCAUCUCCCAACCCUAAAUACUCUCUAGUGACCGAUAGUGAACCAGUACCGUGAGGGAAAGGUGAAAAGCACCCCGGGAGGGGAGUGAAAUAGAACCUGAAACCGUGUGCCUACAACAAGUUCGAGCCCGUUAAUGGGUGAGAGCGUGCCUUUUGUAGAAUGAACCGGCGAGUUACGAUAUGAUGCGAGGUUAAGUUGAAGAGACGGAGCCGUAGGGAAACCGAGUCUUAAUAGGGCGCCAUAGUAUCAUGUUGUAGACCCGAAACCAUGUGACCUACCCAUGAGCAGGUUGAAGGUGAGGUAAAACUCACUGGAGGACCGAACCAGGGCACGUUGAAAAGUGCUUGGAUGACUUGUGGGUAGCGGAGAAAUUCCAAACGAACUUGGAGAUAGCUGGUUCUCUCCGAAAUAGCUUUAGGGCUAGCGUCGAUGUUAAGUCUCUUGGAGGUAGAGCACUGUUUGGGUGAGGGGUCCAUCCCGGAUUACCAAUCUCAGAUAAACUCCGAAUGCCAACGAGAUAUAAUCGGCAGUCAGACUGCGAGUGCUAAGAUCCGUAGUCGAAAGGGAAACAGCCCAGACCACCAGCUAAGGUCCCAAAAUAUAUGUUAAGUGGAAAAGGAUGUGGGGUUGCACAGACAACUAGGAUGUUAGCUUAGAAGCAGCUAUUCAUUCAAAGAGUGCGUAAUAGCUCACUAGUCGAGUGACCCUGCGCCGAAAAUGUACCGGGGCUAAAACAUAUUACCGAAGCUGUGGAUGACACAAAAGUGUCAUGGUAGGAGAGCGUUCUAUGUGUGAAGAAGGUGUACCGUGAGGAGCGCUGGAACGCAUAGAAGUGAGAAUGCCGGUAUGAGUAGCGCAAGACAGGUGAGAAUCCUGUCCACCGUAAGACUAAGGUUUCCAGGGGAAGGCUCGUCCGCCCUGGGUUAGUCGGGACCUAAGGAGAGACCGAAAGGUGUAUCCGAUGGACAACAGGUUGAUAUUCCUGUACUAGAGUAUAUAGUGAUGGAGGGACGCAGUAGGCUAACUAAACCAGACGAUUGGAAGUGUCUGGUCAAACAGUGAGGUGUGAUAUGAGUCAAAUGCUUAUAUCUUUAACAUUGAGCUGUGACGAGGAGCGAAGUUUAGUAGCGAAGUUAGUGAUGUCACACUGCCAAGAAAAGCUUCUAGCGAUACAUAUACUCUACCCGUACCGCAAACCGACACAGGUAGUCGAGGCGAGUAGCCUCAGGUGAGCGAGAGAACUCUCGUUAAGGAACUCGGCAAAAUGGCCCCGAAACUUCGGGAGAAGGGGCGCUGAUUUUAGAUCAGCCGCAGUGAAUAGGCCCAAGCAACUGUUUAUCAAAAACACAGCUCUCUGCUAAAUCGUAAGAUGAUGUAUAGGGGGUGACGCCUGCCCGGUGCUGGAAGGUUAAGAGGAGUGCUUAGCGUAAGCGAAGGUAUGAAUUGAAGCCCCAGUAAACGGCGGCCGUAACUAUAACGGUCCUAAGGUAGCGAAAUUCCUUGUCGGGUAAGUUCCGACCCGCACGAAAGGCGUAAUGAUUUGGGCACUGUCUCAACGAGAGACUCGGUGAAAUUUUAGUACCUGUGAAGAUGCAGGUUACCCGCGACAGGACGGAAAGACCCCAUGGAGCUUUACUGCAGUUUGAUAUUGAGUAUCUGUACCACAUGUACAGGAUAGGUAGGAGCCUAUGAUAACGGGACGCCAGUUUCGUUUGAGGCGUUGUUGGGAUACUACCCUUGUGUUAUGGCUACUCUAACCCAGAUAGGCAAUCCCUAUCGGAGACAGUGUCUGACGGGCAGUUUGACUGGGGCGGUCGCCUCCUAAAAGGUAACGGAGGCGCCCAAAGGUUCCCUCAGACUGGUUGG
rnacentral:rRNA from 1 species